rnacentral:lncRNA from 10 species
GGAGCACUGAACUGGGUGAGGAACCGAAUAUACAGGGAAUCUUCAAAGAUGAAGUAAAUCUCCUGUCAAAGGAUUGGAGAGAAGGAACCAACCGUCUUUCACUCACCCACUUAGAACCUUCUGGAAGCCCUGACUGCCUUGCUGUAAGGUCGGCUGAAUGGAAAGAGACAAAGGCUGUUGGCCCUGAUAACAGAGGACAUGGAGAACACUGACGGGCCAGCACAGAGAGGUGUCAAACCUACAUUGCAGCCUGAAGGAUGUCUUCACUUCCUCCUGCUCCUUCGCCUUGUAUCCUUCAUAGAUUUUUCCCGCAAUAAAACUUUGCA